UGGUGACCCCGACGUGAUGUCUUUUUGUAAAAGAUAUCAUCAUUGAACAACGGUCUUAGGGCAGUAGUAGUGUAGUGAAUGUCGUGUUAACUUGUCAAAACAUUGGUCGUGCAUUAUGGACAUUAAGUGAAGCAGCCCUGAAGGAAUUCUUUAAGCGUUUGGACUUGGUUGGCAACCUUAAAACCUCACCUCUAAGGCAGUUAUAAGGAACCAGUGAGAGGAGCAGAGGAAAGUAUUCGGAAUUGGUUGGCAGCGGAAAGUCACAGCUCUAAGGCAGUUGCAAAGGGCAACCGAAAAGAGCAACAUCCAAGUAUUUGGACUUGGUUAAAUACAAAAAUAGCAGCUCUAAGGCAGUUACACAGGGUAACCGAAGGGAGCAAAAUCCAAUCCAGACUUCAUUAAAAAAGUCACAACUCUAAGGCAGUUACACAGAGUAACCGAAAGGAGCAAAAUCCAAGUAUUUGGACUUGGUAAAAUUAAAAAUCGCAGCUUUAGGGCAGUUACACAAAGUAACUGAAAACAGCAAAAUCCAAAUCUGGACUUCAUUAACAAAAAACAAAAAAAGUGCAGUGGAUACAAAAGUCCAUUAGGCGACUUUCAUUAAAACAAUUCAGAAGGAAUUGUUCCAGGCUAUAUAAUAGGCCAAAUGGUGUUAAGUGUAACACAAAAAGAAGUCCAUUAGGCGACUUUCAUUAAAACAGUUCAGAAGGAAUUCUUUAAGUGUUUUGA